GUCCCCGUAGCCUAACGGGAUGGCGUUCCUGACUUAUUCAUAAAUUAAGGAAAGAAUCGGGGUUCGAAUCCUCGCCGGGACA